GAUGAACGCUGGCGGCGUGCCUAAUACAUGCAAGUCGAGCGAACAGAUGAGAAGCUUGCUUCUCUGAUGUUAGCGGCGGACGGGUGAGUAACACGUGGGUAACCUACCUAUAAGACUGGGAUAACUCCGGGAAACCGGGGCUAAUACCGGAUAAUAUUUUGAACCGCAUGGUUCAAUAGUGAAAGACGGUUUCGGCUGUCACUUAUAGAUGGACCCGCGCCGUAUUAGCUAGUUGGUAAGGUAACGGCUUACCAAGGCGACGAUACGUAGCCGACCUGAGAGGGUGAUCGGCCACACUGGAAAUGAGACACGGUCCAGACUCCUACGGGAGGCAGCAGUAGGGAAUCUUCCGCAAUGGGCGAGAGCCUGACGGAGCAACGCCGCGUGAGUGAUGAAGGUCUUCGGAUCGUAAAACUCUGUUGUUAGGGAAGAACAAAUUUGUUAGUAACUGAACAAGUCUUGACGGUACCUAACCAGAAAGCCACGGCUAACUACGUGCCAGCCGCCGCGGUAA
rnacentral:rRNA from 1 species